rnacentral:rRNA from 1 species
AUUGCGGACGACAGUGUAUGUGAAAUAUGCGGAAGGGAUGAGGAAGACGAGCACCAUGCUAUUAUCGCAUGCACCAGAAGUGUAGCUUUGCACCAUUCCAUGAGAGCCUUUUGGGGAAUCCCUAGAGAAUCUAAGUUCAAAAAUACAAGGGUAGACUGGCUGCAACUGCUGCUGAUCGCCCAACCCGAGGAUGUCAGAACCAAAUUAAUGCUAAUUUUAUGGCAGGCCUGGAGUUUAAGGAACAAUGCCAUACAUGGGGAUGGGAAAGAUACUGUCUCAGGAUCUGUCCAAUACGUGCUCAGACGAGGAGAUUCUAAUGGCGGCAAGCGAACAAGGGCAAAACCCAAGCAUUGGAUGGCUCCUCCAGCCGGCAAAGUUAAGCUGAAUGUGGACGCCGCAUUUCUAGUGGAAUCAGGCGACACGUGGGGAGGCGCGGUAGCUAGAGAUCAUAGGGGCCAUGUCUUCCUAUCAGUAGGCCGGCGUUUGGGCCAGUGCAGCUCAGCAGAAGAAGCAGAAGCAGCAGCGGUGGUGAUGGGAUUAACUGAAUUUCCCAAGUACCAUCAGGGUACUUUGAUCCUAGAAACUGAUUGUGCGGGAAUCGGGCAGGCCCUAUAG